GAUGAACGCUGGCUACAGGCUUAACACAUGCAAGUCGAGGGGAAACGACGGGGAAGCUUGCUUCCUUGGGCGUCGACCGGCGCACGGGUGAGUAACGCGUAUCCAACCUGCCUCUGACUGAGGGAUAACCCGUCGAAAGUCGGCCUAAUACCUCAUGGCAUCGUCUGCGGGCAUCCAACGACGAUUAAAGAUUUCAUCGGUCAGGGAUGGGGAUGCGUCUGAUUAGCUUGUUGGCGGGGUAACGGCCCACCAAGGCUACGAUCAGUAGGGGUUCUGAGAGGAAGGUCCCCCACAUUGGAACUGAGACACGGUCCAAACUCCUACGGGAGGCAGCAGUGAGGAAUAUUGGUCAAUGGGCGAGAGCCUGAACCAGCCAAGUAGCGUGCAGGAUGACGGCCCUAUGGGUUGUAAACUGCUUUUAUGCGGGGAUAAAGUGAGGGACGUGUCCUUCAUUGCAGGUACCGCAUGAAUAAGGACCGGCUAAUUCCGUGCCAGCAGCCGCGGUAAUACGGAAGGUCCUGGCGUUAUCCGGAUUUAUUGGGUUUAAAGGGAGCGUAGGCCGUGGAUUAAGCGUGUUGUGAAAUGCAGGUGCUCAACGUCUGCACUGCAGCGCGAACUGGUCCACUUGAGUGUGCGCAACGCAGGCGGAAUUCGUCGUGUAGCGGUGAAGUGCUUAGAUAUGACGAAGAACUCCGAUUGCGAAGGCAGCCUGCGGGAGCACAACUGACGCUGAAGCUCGAAAGUGCGGGUAUCGAACAGG
rnacentral:rRNA from 1 species